GGGCACAACUGCAGCCAUCAAGAGGCUGCAAGAAGUGAUGGGAAUCGCUGUGCCAUCUGUUUUGAGGGAAAGGGUUUUGAAGAGCCUUGGCACAGAAGAAAGAUGGGUGGUUUUUGUUGGACCUCAUGAGCACCAUUCAAACCUCCUUUCUUGGAGGCAAAGCUUGGCUGAGGUGGUAGAGAUUGGUCUUGAUCAAAAAGGGUUGCUUGAUAUUGAUGCUCUAAAGCUACAACUUGAGGCCUAUAGAGAUACCAACCGACCCAUGUUGGGAUCUUUCUCUGCUUGUAGCAAUGUCACUGGAAUUUACUCAGACACACGAGCAAUUGCUCAGCUUCUUCAUAAGUACAAAGCCUUUGCAUGCUUUGAUUUUGCAGCCAGGUAUUCAUCAUUUAGAAUUGUGGGCAUGUGUUGUCCCUUAUCUUACUUGGUCGGUCUACUUGAAUUAAUUAAAAUUAUCAUUAUUGAUUGCCAAAAUGAUAACGGUUUGUUGUUGUGAGACUUAAUCUAAAUGGUUAGGGUUCAGAUUUUAUGUUUGAGUAUGAAUCAAUAAAUCAUAUUAAAAGAAAAAAUAUUCCCCUUAUAUAUAAUUAAGAUUCCCAAUCACUAAUAUUAUGAUAACAAAAUUAAUUAAAAUUAAAAAAGUGUCAUGGACACCUCAACACUCUUUUUAUAGACACCUCAAUACCUGAAUAUGAUAUAUAAAAGUUUUUAUAUAUGUACUACAUCAUGACUCGUUAAAAUUUGAUGAUAAUGGAUUUAUUAUUUUAUAUGUUUAGCGGUCCAUACGUGGAGAUUAAAAUGAGGUCGGGGCAGAGUGAUGGAUAUGAUGCUAUAUUUCUGAGUCCACAUAAGUUUCUUGGUGGCCCAGACUCUCCUGGAGUGCUCCUCAUGAACAAUGCACUCUACAAGUUAAGAUCUUCGCCGCCAUCAACUUGUGGAGGUGGAACUGUGAAUUACGUCAAUGGCUUCAACGAAAAGGUAAAUCCACUGUUUCAAUAUUUUAUGUAAGGAAAAUAAAAGUCACAUUAUAAUUUAGUCAUCCCACGCCCACCAAAGAAAAAAAAAGUCUUCCCUUAUUAUUUUAUUUCCUAUAUGAUUAUUUUCAAUAUUUUGGCCCCUGAUAAAAUUAUUUAUAAAUCAAAAUUUUAAGUAUAGAAACCAAAAUGUACAAAUGUCAAUUCAUAAAUAUGUUUUUUAUGAGAACUAAAAUGAAAAAUAAUGUCACGUGUAGGACUAUGUUUUUCUAAUUUAACCAAAAAUAAAUUACUUAUAACAAUAUAUUCAUAUCUUAAUAAUUUUAAACUUUUAUACAUAUAAAAUUAUUGGAUAAAUGAACUCUUAUAGCAUUUAUCUUACAACAAUUCUUACAAAGUAAUUAACAUGGAGAUAAUAAAAAAAAAAAGAGAAAGAAGUUUGUAAUAAGGUAAGUGACGCAUACGAGAGAUAGAGAGAAAAAUAAAUUGUAAAAUAUUAUAAAAAUCGGUUGUAUGAAUAUUAUUAUUCAAAUUAAUUGUUCGAUUUUUUUUUCAUAUAAAAACCUGUUUAAUUGUGAAAAAUAAUUCAUCUAAAUAUUUAAUCCACACAUUUUUCUUAAAAAGUUAUACUACUGAUGCUUUUCCAUAAUAUUUUUUCUCUCGCCAUCAUAUCAAUGAUCUAAUCUCACACCUUUUUUUGUUAUAUAUUUUUCUUUAUUAAACAAGAAGAUAUAUAAAUUCAAUUUCUUUCCUCUAAAUGUUCUUGUGAGAAAAUUAAGUGGGUGUUUGCUUGCAAGUGACAUACAUGCGUCUGUCCAUUUUUUUUUUUCACGUCCAAUUGUGCAUUAAGCGUAAGGUAUCAAGUGUAUGUUUGGUUUGAUGUUGGAGGAGUUGAUUAUGAGUGUAAAAUUGAUUUUAUGUUAGAAAAAAAUUUAAAAUUAAUUUUGAAUUUAUAAUUGUUUAUGGGAUGAAACAAUUUAAGUAACUUUUAUGUUGGAUUCAAAAAUUUUAUAUCAUAAAUUAAUUUUAUAAUAAAACAUUCAAAUAUAAAUUAUAUCAUUUUAAAAUCUUUUAACCAAAAUUAAUUUUGUCUACUUCCUUUCAAAUACACUUAUAUGUAUGUUUAGUUUGGUGUUGAAGAAUUGGUUCUAAAUCCAAAAUUGAUUUGGAUACAUUUUCAUAUGUUUAGUUUUAUGUUGGAAAAUAAUUCAAAAUUGAUUUUGGAUUUAAAAUUAAUUAUAGAUUCAAACAACUUUGAGUAGUUUUUGCGUUAAAUUCAAAAUUUUAUAUUGAAUUUUAAGUUUAAUUUAAUUUUAUAAUAAAAUAUUCAAACAUAAAUUAUAUCACUUCAAAAUCAAAUUUAACCAAAAUUAAGUUUACAAAAUCAAUUUUAUCAAUUUCCAGCCAAACACAAAUUGAUAUAGCUUUUAAGCUGGACGUGAAUUAAAACCAAACAUGUUGUAACAAUUACAUGGUUUGAAAUCAUGUAAUCCUAACCAAUUUCCAUAUAACACAUUUACCUUCAUCUAAUAAGCUUCUUGUAAGCUUUGAAACUUUAUGUGGGCGUGUGGGUGUUCAUAUAUAUAUAUGGCAGGAUACACUGUACUUGGAGAACAUAGAGGAAAGGGAAACUGGGGGCACCCCUCCUAUAAUCCAGACAGUGAGAGCAGCAUUGGCAUUUUGGGUGAAAGAGUACAUCGGCUACAAAGAGAUUGAGAAACGUGAACACAUGUACAUUAACAAAGCACUCAAGAGACUCAAAUCGAACCCAAACAUUGAGAUUCUUGGCAACUUAAGCACUAAAAGACAAGCAAUAUUGUCAUUUGUCAUUUAUCCCACCACCAAUAAUUCGUUAUCAGAUGGUUGGGGCAUUAAAUGGCUAGAUGAUAGUAGUAUCAAGAAACAGGACAAUCAAAGAGAACUUAAUUUAUGGGCAGAGACAGGGAGCAAAAGAGGUAAGCUACUUCACGGCCCUUUUGUGGCAACACUUCUAAGUGACCUCUUCGGCAUCCAAGCUCGUGGUGGGUGUGCUUGUGCUGGACCUUAUGGCCACCAAUUGCUCAAUAUCAAUGAAUCUCAAUCGCUUGCUAUUAGAUCAGCAAUUCAAGAGGUAUAUUUUCUCAAUAUUUUAGUCCUUGCUCCGAGUGAUUUUUAACUUUUGAAUUUUAAUUUUAAUGUCAAAAACUCAAAAUAUUUCUGAUUAAUAUAUAAAAAGUUAAUUCAUAUGAUAAAAUUUAGUUUUAAUCCUUAUAAUUUUUAAUUAAUUUUAAUUCUUAUAAAUUUUAAAAUUGAUUUUUUAUGACGCAAAAUGCAUCUAGACAUGUUACAUCUUUGUCAUCUUAAAGUGAUUAUAUGAGAAAGUUAAAUGUAUUUAUAUGAUCACUAAAAAAUGACAUAUACUUUUUUUAAAAAGAAACUUAUGAGAAUAAAAAUUAUCAAAAAAUGGUUUAAUGGUAUUUUUAGUCCUCGAAAUAUCAUUAAAUUUUAGUAUUUAGAUAUUUCAAUAUAUAUAAGGACUAAAAAUCAAUUUUUAAAAAAUUGGAGACUGAAAUUAAAAUUUAGUAAAUAUUUCACGGGUUAAAAACAUUGUUAACACUAAAAGAAAAAUGAUAAGGAAUAGCACUAAAAUUCAUCAUAUUAUAUUUGCAGACACAAGACAUGUUUAAGCCAAGUUGUUUAUUUUUUACAGGUUAUGUUGGAGUAAAACCCGGAUGGACUAGGGUUAGUUUUCCUUAUUACAUGGAGGAGGAGGAAUUUGAGUUCAUUUUAACAGCAAUAGAGUUUGCAGCAAUCUAUGGCCAACGGUUCCUUCCCCUGUAUAGCUUCAAUUUGAGAAACGGAAGUUGGAGAAUGAAGACAGAAAAACUUGAGACUUUGAUCAAGGAAAAGAAUUGCAACUUUCAAAAAACUCCAGAGGAAACAAACAAUGAUUUGAAAGCACUCAAAACAGGCAAUGAAUAUAAUAUUGGAGUUAAACAAGUUAGUAUGUUAAGGAAAUCAUACUUAGAUAUAGCAAAAUAUAUAGCUAGUCUUCUCCCUAAGUUCCCUUCUGAAGACAUACUCCAUGAAGAUGUAAAUCCCAGUAUCCUCUAUUUUAGAGUUUAAUCACAACCAUAAUUUGUUCAUCUAUAUUACAAGCAUCAUUUGCUAAUCUACAUAUCUUAUUCUAAUAGGCUACUACGUACAAUUAAUUCCUUUUAAUAAAGUAUCAAAACAUCUAAACAUAAUUUGUUAUUAAUCCAGAAUCCUUCACCUUUUAAAAAAAAUUCAGAAUACUUCAACUUUGAACCACUAUGUAGAUGUUUGGAUUAAAGUUGGAAGAGUUUAAAAGUAUUUUUUCUUCUAAAAUAAUAAACUUUUCUUUCUCUGUUCAUAUAUUAAAACGUGUACGUAAUUUUGCAUUAGAAUUCAUAAAUAUAUUUCUGUAACUUUAAAUUAAACUAUAUGCAUAUAAGAAUUACUUAUCCAAUACGAAAAAUAACAGUUACGAAAAAAUGAAAUCAGUGACUUUUGUGCAGUAUUUUUUGGAUCUAUAUGAAUUAAUGAUAAUAUAUUUAUAAUAAUUCUUACACUUUUUUCAAUAUUGAGUUAAACUCCAUGACACAUUCUGGAGUAUUAUUAUGACAUAAGAUGUAAUCUAGAUAAUUUAUUGUUACUUAAAAAAAAUGCAACCAUUUUUUUUAUCUCAAAGUUAAAAUAAAAUGAAAUUUGUAAUUACCAAUCAGACCCACGCCCCUCUUUAUUAAAAUGUAUAUUCGUCUUUUAUCUUUUAUUGGACUGUGACCAAGGCAUGGAUUCUUGUAACUAUUUAAAGUAAGGAUUGAGGAUUGUCCCCACUUGAAGCUACUGAUCAUUCAUUUAAUUAAAUUUUAACCGAUAUUAACUAAAGUUUCUGUGGGUCCAGUUGUCCAUGUCAAAUUAAACUUGUGGGUAAAUUAGGUAGGCACAGCACAGCUUCUCAGCAUACAUACACAAUAUAUUCUCUUUUUUUUUUCUUUACGAGAAAAACUUAUAAAAGACCAGUCAAUUAAUACUCAAUACUUGAGAACAAUUUGAAAAUAUAUACUUUGAUUUCAGUUAAAAGAAGAAUCACGGCGCAUAAUAAGAAUUUAAUUUUAUGUAACUAAAAAAAUAGUAAGUACUAUCCAAUUAAAUAAUAACAAUUUAAUUUUUAAAUGUAGUCCAAAUAUUUGUUAAUACGGACUAACAUAAUAAAAAAAACUUUCUUACCCCAUUGCCCAUAGACUCUUCGCUAUGCGAAGGUAUGGGAGAGAGAUGUUGUACGCAGUCUUACCUUGCAUAUGCAAAGAGGCUGUUUCCGGAUUCGAACCCAUGAUCAAUAAGUCACUAAGGCACAACUUUACCACUGCACCAGAACUCGCCCUCACUGACUAACAUAAUAAUUCCACCAAAAAAAUAAUAAAAUAACUAUUUACUUUUUAAUUUAAAUUUAUGAGUUUAGUCAUAUUAAUCACUUUUCAUACAAUAUUACUUAUAGUUGCAAUUAAAAUUUUAUUUUAUUUUGUACACAGAACAAGUGUUAAUAUAUAAAUAAAAGUUAUAAAUUUUAAGUUUAAUUAUUACAAUCAACUUGCUAGAUAACACCUAAAAUAUAACAUAUUUUGUCCACAAUAACAGGUUAUCGUGGGAACCACAUCCACAGGACGAGAAAGCUGAGUUUGAAUUUUAGGGAAAUGAAGUAGCUUUUGGUGAAAAACUGGCCUGGAGAAUUAGAAUCAUCGUGCUUUCCUACAAACACAUCUUUUACAAGAAGGAUUUCAAGUAUGAUUAAGUUUUGGAUUAAGAAUUAGUUUUUGGUUCUCAUAAAAUUAGUAAAAUUUAAAUUUAGUUUCUAUAAUUUUUUUUUUCAUUUUUGGUUCUCAUAAAAUUAUGUAUAAUUUUUUUUAUAACCAAAUCUUAGAUUUUUAAUUUAAAUUAUAAAAUUAUAUUUUUUGGGGUUAAAAAGUAAAAUUACAAAAUUUAGAUCUCCAGCGGGCCUCCCUAUGGAUGCCUACCACAAUCACACACACUACUCCAGCAAUCUAAUCGGAUGUAAUUGGCGCAAACAAAACACUGAAAAUGAAAUUCUAGUAAGUCCUCUCUCUCUCCCUAUUGCAAUGGAGUAAUGGAAUUGGUUCUGUGUUGGAGGGUUUUAGGAAACUGGCCUGGGGGAGUGCAUUCUGAUUAAUGAGGUGAAGGAGGAUUUUAGGGUGAAUGGAAUAAAAAAUAUAUUUUAACUUUAGUUUUAUAACUGAUCUAAAAUUAAAGUUUAUGAUUCAGGUCAUUGAAUUCUCAUUUAUAUUGUUAAAUGGUAAUUUUAAAAUAACAUAAAAAAUGAUUUAUAUAUCUUUUAGAAUUUUUGUGUAAGCACCACUUCCAUUUUGAAAAUUAAUUACAAUUAAUUUUCUUCUAAGUUUUAUAAGUGGUUUUUUAUAAUAAAAAAUAUUUUAAAAAAUUGGAUUUUUUUUAAAAUUAAACAAUCACCUAGAAAUUAUGCAAAACUAAUUUUAUAAAUAAAAUUAAUUUUCAAAAAACUGAAAAUACGUGUUCUUAACUUCUUAUAAUAAAUUAAACAUACGGAACACGUCCUUUUCUUAAAAACCAAGACCUUAUCUUAUGUAUUCUAAUAAAAUAAAAUAAUUACUGUUUAUGAUGAAACUCCCCAAACUACCGUUCCUUCCAGUUUACUUAAGGGGGGAAAACUUCUCCAAAAACUAAGGUCAGGUAAUACACCAUUACCAUUACCUGGUUCAAGAAAAAGUAAGAUACCAUCAUUACCAUGCACUUGGUGGUCAACAGAAAGAAAAAAAUAAUAUUAUAAUUGUAAAGAAACGUUACAUUUUAAAGUAAUGUUCAAAUACAAUGUUUUGCACUUGUUGUCUAGUGGGCGCGAGCUACCUGAAUUGUAGACAUAUCCACAGUAAAAAGGCUCCACAAGUUUGUUCAGCCCAUAAUAUACAUCCCACUGAAACUAUUAACUCUUACCGAAAUAUAAAUCAACAAAAAUAUUUUGCCUUCUCUUAAAAGCCUUCUUCUACUUCCACCUUUUUCUUAUAUGCUGCGUUACAUAAACAACAUCAUACGCCAUUUUAUUCAGUUGUUCUUUAUAAUGGAAGUAGUAGAGCACCCCUUAUUAGCCGAACCAUGCAUGGACCAAAGCGUGGACAAAACCAACUACGAGGUUGGAGUGUUAUCCAAAACAAGCAUAUCAGAAACAUCUCAUGACUUUUGCAACCACUCUGAGUCCUUCAAGAAGCUCGUGGAGAUGGGUUUGCCGUGUAAUGAAUCAGUGGAGGAAAAGCUGCAUUGGUUGCGGUCACAAAUCAUUGGUAACGAUGCAGAGUUCGAUUCCCCAUUUGGAAAACGAAAAGUUGUCUAUGCUGAUCACACUGCUUCAGGCCGCAGCCUUCACUACAAUGAGAAUUUCAUCAUCAAACACCUUCUUCCUUUCUAUGGUAAGUUAUUCACAUCAUUACACCAAGCCACCCUUUAUCAUAUAUGUAAUAUAUAUACUAUAUUAAGCUCUGAAUUGUUAUAAGAGUAACUGGUAUAUGUAUUUAUACUUACACGGUCAUCUACUUAUAAAUUGUUAUGUAUGAUAAAUUUGUUGACUUUAAUUAUUCAUUAUCAAGAUCAACUGAUUGUGCCUAGAAAUUGAAGUCUUUCUUAUAAUAUGUUGGUAGUUUUUUUAAAUAUGUAUAUAGAAGUUACGUUGCUCGACUUAGUCUUCCAGAUUUUUCAAGAAAAGUUAUAGAAGCCACUAGAAUUUUAAACGUGGGAACAUUUCUGAAUCUGUUAUUUUCUGUGUAUAGGUAACACUCACACGUGCGACAGUUACGUGGGAAGCAGGACAACAAAAAUGGUACACGAAGCAAGGGAGUACAUUAAAAAAUGUUUAGGUGGUGGAGAAGAUGAUGCACUCAUAUUAUGUGGCUCGGGCACAACUGCAGCCAUCAAGAGGCUGCAAGAAGUGAUGGGAAUCGCUGUGCCAUCUGUUUUGAGGGAAAGGGUUUUGAAGAGCCUUGGCACAGAAGAAAGAUGGGUGGUUUUUGUUGGACCUCAUGAGCACCAUUCAAACCUCCUUUCUUGGAGGCAAAGCUUGGCUGAGGUGGUAGAGAUUGGUCUUGAUCAAAAAGGGUUGCUUGAUAUUGAUGCUCUAAAGCUACAACUUGAGGCCUAUA
rnacentral:lncRNA from 1 species